CUUCACUGCGGUCUCCAGAGAAAAUACCGAAGGGGAAGAGCAUUCUUAGUGCAAAGCAAAACUUCGCCUCUCCUCUCUGCUAUUCUGGGCACCUUGCUCCAGCAGAGCAGCUGCUCCAGCGGCAGAGCGUUGUUCCCAGCAUGCUUUGCACAGAUACAUCUCCUAGCACCUCCACCACCCUCUUCCCCACCUGGCACAAUUCACCUCCAUCAGAUUCUCUCUGCCCUCUCCCCAGGAAUUCCAGUGAGUGCUGGUUCCGCUGUCCAGGCCUUUAUUCUCUCUGGAUAACCCAGUCUACAUAGAAACAGAGCAAUAAUGAAGCAGGCAGGCUGUGCCUGACAUUACCUCAGAAAAGAAUUACUCAGAAGGCGUCACAGGCCACGAGACUUCGUUUUACAAACAGCGUUUGACUCCAUUUUGAGUGCAAACACAGUGCACGGAUGACGCUGUACCUUGGUGGGCACGUGCACGUUACCAUCUGUUCAGCACCACACACGUGAGAAAAUAACUGAUGGAGCCCAAUUUGUGCUGCCCACAUAUUCAUGAGUGUGGGGCCAUCCAUUCAUGAGUGAGGCAGGUCACCCUACCAGGAAGGUACAAGUUACUACAGUGGGUAGAGAUCCAUCAUGAGGAAGCUUUGAAAACGCCGGCAACUCCUUUUGCUCUAUCAUAUUUUCUCCUUUCUGUGGUAUCCUAAUUUUGAGGCAAACUGGAGCUAAGUUUGUGUCACCUAAACUUUUGGUAUGCUUAUUUAAAACGAUCUACGAAAGAUCCUGAUCUCUCUCAGUGACAGUGCUAUAUGCCUCUGUCGGGUUAUCUCCAGUUCCCAUCGAAGACUAAAACACUAACGUGCCAAGUCUGAAUGAGUGCUAUGAGAUUGUAUCAUAGCAUGGGUCUGGUUUGCCUCUAUGAGGACAUUUGGAUUAUGCAGAUGUCUUCUUUCUCAACAUUUGAUGUUCUUUCUCCAGCCAUUGUUAAAACGCUGACCAGAAAUAAAACAGCGUCUGGCAGAUUUUAGUAUACUCUGUGUGAAGCCUGGUUUCUUUCAACAGCCUGCGGCCCCCUGACUCGGAGUUCCUUUGUUUAAAAGAUGCAAAGCUGGGAAGAACAUUAAUGUUUCCUUCGAAUCACUCCUGGCGGCCUUCCACAGAGAACAGUCUACCCUGCCUCAUGGCUAAUAGAUCUGCCGGGCUGAUUUGUAAGUUAGGAAGACAUGAGAAAUGACAGUUGAAGUCGGGGCAAAUGCACUAAGAGUAGCUUUAUUAACAGUGAGGUGGCUGGGGCCCUCUGCUCUAUCCAGAUAGUAGUAGGUAGACAAGAAAACGAUCCCUCGGCAUUUGAUGGCAGUGAGUGGCAGCAGCCAGCAGGCAAAAGCCCUGUAAAGUUAAGUCUCUCAGGCCAGCUUCCAGUACCAGAACCUUUAGUUCCUCAACUGUUCUAGCUAGUAUCUCGACCUAGGGCCUAUGUUGUGUUACCACUCCUAUAUACGUCUAGGAAGUUGGGGUUCCUUGUCAUUGGCUUCAGCCUGUUGGGGAUUCCUCAGCCCUAAUCACUGGCCAGUGUUAUAGCUAUUGGCCUGGAGUGUCUAGACCAAUGGUUCUCAACAAGCGAAGCGGGUCAAGACCCACCGCGGGGGUCAAAUGCCCCUCUCACAGGGGUUGCACAUCAGAUAUUUAAUUACAAUUCAUAACCAUAGCAAAAUUACAGGUAUGAAGUAGCAAUGAAAUACUUACAUGGUUGUGGGUCACCACAGCAUGAAGAAGUGUAUUAAAGGGUCACAGCAUUAGAAAGGUUGAGACCCACUGGUCUAGACCCUUGACACUCUAGAUCUGACAGCUCUCUAGAGUUCUAGUGACCAAGGCUUAUAAUUUCCCUGCAUCUUCUACCCUUCUUCAGCCUCUGCUGUUUGCGCUCUCUCGUCUUCUCCCUACGCCUCCCAUCCUCCCAUCCUGGAUGUCUGCGACGGUUCAGCUGCCGCUGCUUCAGCUGUCAGGCAGCCGUGUGCGCCCAUGUUUGUAGCUUGCCCUAACAUGUACUCUUUUUGCGGCUUCCUUUUUGUUUCCAGAUCAUUCUGUACUACUCAGCACAGGGUAGAGGUGGAACCACUCCAGAGAAGCCUUUUAUUGGAUCUAAUAUUGUCAUACCAGAGGGGGUCCACCAGCUGACGCUCUGAGUGAGCCUGGAUAGGCUGCUAGGGUGGUCCAAGGAGAGCCACUUGGACCAACCACAGACACCUCACAGGCAAGCGGAGGUUUGUGUUUGCAUCAGCUGUAGCCAGGCCCCUUCAGCACUCACCACGGUCAUUUGUCUGCUAGCACCCCAGGGAAAGUUUGUCUCUUGGCCUAUGGUUGCAAUGUCAUCUAGAGUUCAAAGAGGCUUUUGCAGCAAAAAGUCGUGAUUGGGGAUGCACUUCAGCAGCUGGGAUCAGUGUGUGGUUUCCUCAAGGCCUCUGCCGAGGACUCACAAUGGACUGUGCUGGCUGCUUAACUACAGUCCUUUUGCUCUAGGCAGCCAGGGCAGCGAGGGAGAUUCCAACAGCUUCCAAUUUGGAAGUCAAGUUGCUAUGCCCCCAGUGUCUUUUCUCAUCACAGGAAAAUGAACAUUAGAAGGAAUACUUACAAUAAGAAAUUAAAAACUUACCAAUUUUUAGAAAUGAUUUUUGUUGUUAUUGUUUUUGUUUUUCGAGACAGGGUUUCUCUGUAUAGUUUUGGUGCCUGUCCUGGAUCUCACGCUGUAGACCAGGCUGGCCUCGAACUCACAGAGAUCCGCCUGGCUCUGUCUCCCGAGUGCUGGGAUUAAAGGCGUGCGCCACCGCCCGGCUUGAACAGAUUUUUGAUAGAGUUUUACAGAGGAAGAGACAGCUUCUCCCCUCUGUCAUAUCUCCUCACACAAAUCGGGAUGUUGGUGCUCAGGGCUGAGCAAAGAUCCAAAGCACUAGGUCAAAACCAGGUUCAGUAAGGCAACUUUUGUGACUUCUUCCAGAGUCAGAGGGAGUCCAGAAGAUGGACAGAGAGAUGCACAGGAAGGAAUAGGGAGGGAUUUGCCUACCUAUUGGCUGUUCAGCUCUUUAUUAAACCAAUCACAGCAGUAUAUCUUCACACAGUAUACAAAUAUCCCACAGCACAGACAAAAAGAACAAAUGUUAAUUAAAACAUUUUAUUAAUUUAGUGUGGGGUGUGUGUGUGUGGUGUUUAAGUCAGAGGACAAACUCCAGGAAUUGCUUCUCUCCUUCCACCGUGUUGUGGGUUACAGGAAUGAAACUCCCAUCUUUAGGGUUGCUGGCCAGUGCCUUUACUGAUGGAAUCAUCUUGCCAUUACUAAUCAUUAAUUUUUAAAAUACAUGUCUGUGGCUCACAUCUUCAGGGAAAAUGUAAAACUGAAUGUACAAACAUGGCUUGUUUUAGUUUUUGCAAUGAUUAAAAGCUGAAGCAGCUACACUACUCUGUGACUGUAUUGAACACUUAAAGGCAAACCUGAGGGUAUAUCUGGGGAGAGAGGUGGCUCAGGGGUUAAGGAUGCUGACUCGUGUUCCAGAGGAACUGGAUUCAAUUCCCAGGCUCUCCAGUGUCCGAUCACACCAAGAUAAAAUUAUAAAAAUUUUUUUUAAAAAAGGAAGAGAG